AGCUUGGCACAGUGGCAGUAUUGUACCCAGUGAGGUUUAUCCGAGGUGCAAUUAUUGCUAAUUGAAAACUUUUCCCAGUACCCUGCCAUCAUGACUUGAAAUAUAGUUGGCAUUGGCAAUUUUUGACAGUCUCUAUGGAGA
ensembl:snRNA U4 U4 spliceosomal RNA